CCUACGGGAGCCAGCAGUAGGGAAUCUUCGGCAAUGGACGAAAGUCUGACCGAGCAACGCCGCGUGAGUGAAGAAGGUUUUCGGAUCGUAAAACUCUGUUGUUAGAGAAGAACAAGGACGUUAGUAACUGAACGUCCCCUGACGGUAUCUAACCAGAAAGCCACGGCUAACUACGUGCCAGCAGCCGCGGUAAU
rnacentral:rRNA from 1 species